rnacentral:rRNA from 1 species
AGUGAACGCUGGCGGUAGGCCUAACACAUGCACGUCGAACGGCAGCACAGGAGAGCUUGCUCUCUGGGUGGCGAGUGGCGGACGGGUGAGGAAUACAGCGGAAUCUACUAUUUCGUGGGGGAUAACGUAGGGAAACUUACGCUAAUACCGCAUACGACCUAGGGGUGAAAGCAGGGGACCUUCGGGCCUUGCGCGAUUGAAUGAGCCGAUGUCGGAUUAGCUAGUUGGCGGGGUAAAGGCCCACCAAGGCGACGAUCCGUAGCUGGUCUGAGAGGAUGAUCAGCCACACUGGAACUGAGACACGGUCCAGACUCCUACGGGAGGCAGCAGUGGGGAAUAUUGGACAAUGGGCGCAAGCCUGAUCCAGCCAUACCGCGUGGGUGAAGAAGGCCUUCUGGUUGUAAAGCCCUUUUGUUGGGAAAGAAAUCCAGCUGGCUAAUACCCGGUUGGGAUGACGGUACCCAAAGAAUAAGCACCGGCUAACUUCGUGCCAGCCGCCGCAGUAA